rnacentral:rRNA from 1 species
AAGGAGGUUUGAUCCCUGGCUCAGGACGAACGCUUGCGGCGUGCCUAAGAAAUGCAAGUCGAACGGACAUCGGGGCAACCCGGUGUCAGUGGCGAACGGUCGCGUAACACGUAGGCAACCUGCCCAAAAGUGGGGGAUAACAGCCCGAAAGGGUUGCUAAUACCGCAUGUGGCCAUCUUCUCGCAUGAGAAGGUGUCCAAAGGCUUUCAGCAAUGGGAGUCGCUUUUGGAUGGGCUUGCGGCCUAUCAGGUAGUUGGUGGGGUAAUGGCCUACCAAGCCGUUGACGGGUAGCUGGUCUGAGAGGACGAUCAGCCGGAUUGGGACUGAGAUACGGCCCAGACUCCUACGGGGGGCAGCAAUUAGGAAUCUUGCGCAAUGGGGGCAACCCUGACGCAGCGACGCCGCAUGGGGGAGGAAGGCCUUCGGGUCGUAAACCCCUUUUUAACGGGGAAGAAUAAUGUGACGGGUACCCGUUUGAAUUAAGCCCCGGCUAACUACUUGCC